rnacentral:rRNA from 1 species
CCUACGGGAGGCAGCAGUGGGGAAUAUUGGACAAUGGGGGCAACCCUGAUCCAGCAAUGCCGCGUGAGUGAUGAAGGCCUUCGGGUUGUAAAGCUCUUUCACCCACGACGAUGAUGACGGUAGUGGGAGAAGAAGCCCCGGCUAACUUCGUGCCAGCAGCCGCGGUAAUACGAAGGGGGCUAGCGUUGUUCGGAGUUACUGGGCGUAAAGGGCGCGUAGGCGGCCUGAUCAGUCUGGUGUGAAAGCCCGGGGCUCAACCCCGGAAUUGCACUGGAGACGGUCAAGCUUGAGUGUGGGAGAGGAUGGUGGAAUUCCCAGUGUAGAGGUGAAAUUCGUAGAUAUUGGGAAGAACACCGGUGGCGAAGGCGGCCAUCUGGACCAUUACUGACGCUGAGGCGCGAAAGCGUGGGGAGCAAACAGGAUUAGAUACCCUGGUAGUCCACGCCGUAAACGAUGAGUGCUAGACGUCGGGGCCCUUAGGGCUUCGGUGUCGCAGCUAACGCAUUAAGCACUCCGCCUGGGGAGUACGGCCGCAAGGUUAAAACUCAAAGGAAUUGACGGGG